GCGCCGGUGGUGUAAUGGCGUAGAGCAUUCCCGCCCGGUCGGAGGGAGGUGCGGGUUCGAGUCCCGCCUGGCGCU
rfam:Heligmosomoides polygyrus genome assembly, scaffold: HPBE_scaffold0000026